AUUGAACGCUGGCGGCAGGCCUAACACAUGCAAGUCGAGCGGAUGAAGUGAGCUUGCUCCUGGAUUCAGCGGCGGACGGGUGAGUAAUGCCUAGGAAUCUGCCUGGUAGUGGGGGAUAACGUCCGGAAACGUGCGCUAAUACCGCAUACGUCCUGAGGGAGAAAGUGGGGGAUCUUCGGACCUCACGCUAUCAGAUGAGCCUAGGUCGGAUUAGCUAGUUGGUGGGGUAAAGGCCUACCAAGGCGCCGAUCCGUAACUGGUCUGAGAGGGUGAUCAGUCACACUGGAACUGAGACACGGUCCAGACUCCUACGGGAGGCAGCAGUGGGGAAUAUUGGACAAUGGGCGAAAGCCUGAUCCAGCCAUGCCGCGUGUGUGAAGAAGGUCUUCGGAUGGUAAAGCACUUUAAGUUGGGAGGAAGGGCAGUAAGUUAAUACCUUGCUGUUUUGACGUUACCAACAGAAUAAGCAACGGCUAGCUUCGUG
rnacentral:rRNA from 1 species